ACGGUUUCAGAGGACUAGCAAUUGUUCUUCAAAGUUAGGAUUUGUAUCAGUGAUUUAGGUUUAAUAUAAUAUAAUUAGGACUACCAAUUUUGGCUAGGUCGUGCAAUUGGCAUGACAUCUAUGAUUGAAAAUUUGAUGUUGUUUGGAUUAUUGGGUCUACUAAGUGGAUACAAAAUUUUGUGAUAAUCUAACGACGUGGUUUAGAGAUAUCUAGUUUUUAGCACAAGAGGGUUUCAGAAGGUGGCAGUUUGAAGUUGGACAGGGUUUCUAUGAUAUCUUAAGAUCUAUUAGUUGGAUUGAAGUAAAAAUUGGCAUGGU
rnacentral:lncRNA from 1 species